rnacentral:rRNA from 1 species
ACCAGACGAUGCGGUUACCGCGGCUGCUGGCACGGAGUUAGCCGGUGCUUCUUCUGUGAGUGAUGUCCUUCCUGCCGGUUAUUGACCCGCAGGCCUUCUUCCUCACUGAAAGUGCUUUACAACCCGAAGGCCUUCUUCACACACGCGGCAUGGCUGGAUCAGGGUUGCCCCCAUUGUCCAAUAUUCCCCACUGCUGCCUCCCGUAGGAGUCUGGGCCGUGUCUCAGUCCCAGUGUGGCUGAUCAUCCUCUCAGACCAGCUACGGAUCGUCGCCUUGGUGAGCCGUUACCUCACCAACCAGCUAAUCCGACAUAGGCUCAUCCGAUAGCGCGAGG